rnacentral:rRNA from 1 species
AGAGUUUGAUCCUGGCUCAGGAUGAACGCUGGCGGCGUGCUUAACACAUGCAAGUCGAACGAACCUUCGGGUUAGUGGCGGACGGGUGAGUAACGCGUGAGAAUCUGCCCUCAGGAGGGGGACAACAGUUGGAAACGACUGCUAAUACCCCAUAUGCCGCGAGGUGAAAUGAAUUUCGCCUGAGGAUGAGCUCGCGUCUGAUUAGCUAGUUGGUGUAGGUAAUGGCUCACCAAGGCAUCGAUCAGUAGCUGGUCUGAGAGGAUGAUCAGCCACACUGGGACUGAGACACGGCCCAGACUCCUACGGGAGGCAGCAGUGGGGAAUUUUCCGCAAUGGGCGAAAGCCUGACGGAGCAACGCCGCGUGAGGGAUGAAGGCCUCUGGGCUGUAAACCUCUUUUAUCAAGGAAGAAGAUCUGACGGUACUUGAUGAAUAAGCCACGGCUAAUUCCGUGCCAGCAGCCGCGGUAAUACGGGAGUGGCAAGCGUUAUCCGGAAUUAUUGGGCGUAAAGCGUCCGCAGGCGGCCCUUCAAGUCUGCUGUUAAAAAGUGGAGCUUAACUCCAUCAUGGCAGUGGAAACUGUUGGGCUUGAGUGUGGUAGGGGCAGAGGGAAUUCCCGGUGUAGCGGUGAAAUGCGUAGAUAUCGGGAAGAACACCAGUGGCGAAGGCGCUCUGCUGGGCCAUCACUGACGCUCAUGGACGAAAGCCAGGGGAGCGAAAGGGAUUAGAUACCCCUGUAGUCCUGGCCGUAAACGAUGAACACUAGGUGUCGGGGGAAUCGACCCCCUCGGUGUCGUAGCCAACGCGUUAAGUGUUCCGCCUGGGGAGUACGCACGCAAGUGUGAAACUCAAAGGAAUUGACGGGGGCCCGCACAAGCGGUGGAGUAUGUGGUUUAAUUCGAUGCAACGCGAAGAACCUUACCAGGGUUUGACAUCCUGCGAAUCUCUUGGAAACGAGAGAGUGCCUUCGGGAACGCAGUGACAGGUGGUGCAUGGCUGUCGUCAGCUCGUGUCGUGAGAUGUUGGGUUAAGUCCCGCAACGAGCGCAACCCACGUCUUUAGUUGCCAGCAUUUAGUUGGGCACUCUAGAGAGACCGCCGGUGAUAAACCGGAGGAAGGUGUGGAUGACGUCAAGUCAUCAUGCCCCUUACAUCCUGGGCUACACACGUACUACAAUGCUACGGACAAAGGGCAGCAAGUUCGCGAGGACAAGCAAAUCCCAUAAACCGUGGCUCAGUUCAGAUCGUAGGCUGCAACUCGCCUACGUGAAGGAGGAAUCGCUAGUAAUCGCAGGUCAGCAUACUGCGGUGAAUACGUUCCCGGGCCUUGUACACACCGCCCGUCACACCAUGGAAGUUGGCCACGCCCGAAGCCGUUACUCCAACCCUUGUGGAGGAGGACGUCGAAGGUGGGGCUGAUGACUGGGGUGAAGUCGUAACAAGGUAACC